rnacentral:lncRNA from 1 species
CCCUCAGGACCCGGCCUCCUCUCCCCUAACCCACCUUCCCUUGCAGGAAAAUGCCCUUAAGGACCCUCAGGACCCGGGUCUCCUCUCCCCUAACCCACCUUCCCUUGUAGGAAAAUGUCCUUAAGGACCCUCAGGACCCGGGCCUCCUCUCCCCUAACCCACCUUCCCUUGCCAGGGUGACCCCGCCAGAACCAGGUGAGCCGCUGCCCACACAGGGACCCGCGGCCAACAGGCCAACGUCCUGGGGAAGCGCUUCUUACCCUGCUGCCUGGGACGGGAGAACGCAGGAGAGGCUGGAGAACACCCGGGAAAGGCCUGGAGAACACCCGGGAAAGGCUGCAGAACGCCGGGGAGAGGCCUGGAGAACGCCCGGGAAAGGCUGCAGAACGCCGGGGAGAGGCCUGGAGAACGCCCGGGAGGCUGAAGAACACCCGGGAGGCUGUAGAACGCCGGAGAGGCCUGGAGAACGCCCGGGAGAGGCCUGGUGAACACCCGAGAGGCUGGAGAAUGCCCUGGAGGCCUGGAGAACGCCCGGGAGAGGCCUGGAGAACGCCCGGGAGGCCUGACAGAACCGUGCCUCAGGCCGUGGCGCUCGGCCCCCUGCAGACUCCGGCUGAACCUGCCCCUCCCCGUUGUUUUUCUCUGACCAACCUCUGCGCAUGCGCGGUUCUGCGCCCGGGGCUGGGCUGUUCCUCGCCAGCAAUGAGCAGAGAGUGGGGAGUGCUCGCCCUUUCCACCCCACAGGCUUCGGCAGCUUUUGGUCCCAGAGAUAAUAUCCGAAGGAUAGAGAAGGAGAGGAACGCGGAGAGAGAGCUUGGAGGUAAAAAAACUGCGCUUUUAACUUUGGUUGGGUCGGGCCUCUGAGGCGCGUGCUCAGGUUCCCCUCAGCCCUGCCCGUCCGCGCCUUCAGGAGAUUUUUAAAGAGACAGGACAAUGGGGCCGGUUUUACUCACGAUUUUAACUUUCUUUCUCUGGCUGUACCCCUCUUCUGGCCGUACCCCUUUUGGGUGUACCCCUCUCCUGGCUGGCUCGCCAAAUGUAAUAUUGGGGUUUUGGGGUUCAGGGUGCCCUUGGCUUCCUUGAGAGGACGUUUCUCCAGGUGCUUGGUCUCCUGCCCUCUUAAGAAUGAGAGGAGACCAGGGCGCAGUAAAUGUCGGACUUAGGAAGUGUUGGAUAAAGGGAUUUUAUUUAGGUAGAGAGAGACACAGCUGACUCUCACACCGAGUGAGAGAAUCCAGAAAGAUGGAACCCAGGACAGGAAAGCAGCUUCCACACUGAGUGGAAGGGAAUAGAGAGAUGGAGUUUAGGGGGGAAGACAGGCUUCCACGAGAGAGUGUGGAAGGGGGACUCCAGAGGGGAAAUCCAGGAGAGGGAAAGACGGCUUCCACCAAGGGGGUGUUCCUGGGAGGGACCCAAACAUGGAGGCCGAAGGGGUGUGGAAGAAGGGGGCUUCUAACCUGGGAGGAACCCCGCCUUCUCCAAGACCCCAGGCCAAUGAAAGGAGUUCCUCAGAACUUCCGCUGGAGUGACUGACUCUUAGUUUCUUCCCUAGACCGUAAAAUUCAAAUAUAAACCAUUAAAUCUCCCGGUUGGAGAGAGGUGGGAGGGGCACGGUGCUGGGAAGUUCUUGGCCUUGAAACUACGCCCCCUUCUGGACUUGGAAAGAGAACAGCUUCGCCCCGGGAGGGCAGCUCCAGGCCUCAGUGCAGGUGCCAGUGCUUGCGAGGCUGUGCUGGAUCAGGGGUGCUGCAGGUGGCUUCCAUUGUGCGCACGUGGUGAGCCCAGAAGCUCAGAGAUGCCUGGAACUGCAGAGCCCCAAAGUGUCACAGCCCUGGCUUGGGGAGCCCCUAGGUCUGGGGUCCUGGAAGGGCCGCUGCUCUUCACUUUAUCACUCACAACAGGGCAAGCGGGGACUGUAUUUCAGCCCUGUGUACUUCAGCCCUGUUUGUGUUACAGCUCUUUUUCACCCGCCGGGUCGUCCCAAGUACUUGCCCCACAUCCACGAAGAAUGAGGUAUGUGGGCACCUGAAGGGCGAGCAAGGCAGAGAAGCUGCAUGGAGGGACAGAACAACUCUGAGGAGACCUGAAGAGGAUGACUCCUUUCCAUAGGCAGGAUGUCCUGAUGAGUCAAGGACACCCAAAGCGGGUAACUCCUUCCUGCAGCUGGUAGUCCCAAUGUCUGUGUGAGUCUCGCUGAGGCUGGGGUUAGGGCUCAGAAGGAAGUGCAUGCUAAUUGGUCCAUGGGUGGCCAUGGGCAGGCCCAGGAAAAUCACCACAAGUUCUCUCUCUGGGCCACAGGCUCCAUCAGGAACUGGCGUCUUAGCCUCCAGGCUUCAGGCCAUCCCAUACUUGAAGGUGGAAUGUCUUCAGGUCCCUACUCCUUUCUGCCCAUGAAAGUGUCUGCCUCCCACCAUCAACAUGCUGUCCAUGGUACCCAGGCUGUUUGUGCCAGGUGGGGGGUGCUGCAGGCUCACAUCAAACUGCCCUCAGCAUCCCUCCAACACUCAUUGGUGCCCAAAUUCCAGAGGGGGCUGAGGCGCCAGGGUGCUUGUGUGUCAGUACCUCCUUGAGCAUGCACACACCUGGCUGGGUAGCAGUAGCGCCUGGGCUUGGCCAUAACUUUGCUCCACACCAGAACAAGCACUGGGAUCGGGGAGAAGCCAGAAAGAGGGAGCAGGCAAUUCUAAGCCUGUAGGAGUAGGAGGUUCCCAGGCCCCUGAGAAGAUAGGGAUGCUUGGUCCAGAGCCAGAGCUGGGUGGCUGCAGCUACGCCCAGGAGCAUGAGGCUUCCACCCUGCCAACUUGGUUUUGGGGAAAGGCCUCCUGCUCUUCCAGGACCCCACCAGCCUUGCAGAAUUUGCAACCCCAGCUGUGCCUCCCCCACUCAGCCAGUCUUUGCAGCACCCACCCCAGACAGGUGGGCACUGCCAUCUCUGGUAGGUCACGUUUAAUCCGAGUAUAUUCCAUAAGCCUUUCUUGUACAGCAUUUCCUUCCCUUUGGGAGAUGAGAUAAUUCUUACUUGAAAAGUCUGUAAUGACUUCAUUUUGGCAGUUCUUUGCAAGAGAAUAUUGAGGCAGUAUUUUGCAAGGGAAUGCCAAUUGAAUUAGGAAAUACUGGCUCUCUUUGCCUCUAUACUUAGGGCCAGAACAAGAUUCCAGUGGAAUGUAAAAUAUUUAAUAAAAAGCUUAACCUAGAAAAAUAUAUUAUAUAUACUGUAAGAAUGUUGAUAUUUUGUAAACCAAGCCUAUAAAUGAGAUGCACUAUUUGAACUUAGGAUUUCAUUCCAAAUGUAGGGUAGUUCUAGGUAUCUGAAGAACUUGUAACUUCAGUUACUUUCUGUAACUGAAGAACUUGACAAGUGCCAUGGGAGAAACUGAGUCUCCACAAGGGGACAAGAUUGUAGGCUCUGUAACAUUUACUGUGUUGUAAGUUCUCUUGACUCUAUUUCUGUGCUCUUUCAGUAUUCUGGAAAGCAGCAUGGUAUCUCUAUUGCAAAGAAAACAAUGCUUUUAAUUGUCUGGAAGUGUAUGUGUGUGUGAGAGAGAGUAUGUGAAGGUGCAUUUGUGUGUGUUUAACCUGAUAAAUUGCAUCUACUGCAGAGAAAUAGAUAGGCAUUUUCCUCUACCUACAUGUCUCCAUGUCUGAACCAUGAGAUUGUCGUCUUACUUAUCUGUACUUAAUAAAGGAAGGAAGGCUGUAUGCUUGUGGUGGGUUUGUGUGUGUGUGUAGGAGUUUAAAACACAUCAGAAUUUUAGCAGCCUCCAUUUUUCCUAUCUAUGCCAAAUACUCCAGACCUUAACCAAUUCUUAAAUUUCUUCUAAAUAUUAACCACACCAGAACUCCCAUAUAUAUGAUUCCUUUUAAUCACUUCAUAUAGAGAAAUUCUGCUCAUGAAAAAUAAAAAACUAUACUCAUUUUCUACAAUGUUUUUUCCUAUGUUUUUCUAGUUUCAGUUCUAUCUUUUCUUUAGGUCUCAAUAACACUCUGACAUUACCUUUCUAGAUAUUCUAUUAUACUUUUAUAAGUGCAAUCCAUUCCCUCAACCUCCCUUUGCUCUGAUCCCUUAUAUAAUUCGACUCACCUAUGGGUUAAAAACCCUUUUUCUGGAUGGUUAUGAGAUGUAAAUAAUUGGCAUCUGUUGUAUGUACUAUAUGUUUUUUUACCUUAUAGAGAUAUAAAUAAAAAAUAAUUAAAAUAACCAAGUCAUUUACUUUGAUCUAAACAAAAAUAAAU